UAGAUAAUAGGGACAGAUGCAGUAACUGGUGUAAGUGGGAAGUUAGGAAGGUACGAUGCAGACGAUAAUUUAAUGUAUAUUUGUAAGCAACGAUAAGCAAUUGAUUACGAAAAAACGAUUCUGAGCAGAGUUCAGUUGAUAGUGAUGCUUUUUCAACAAUAUAUGUAUAUAGAAAAAUAAUAAAAUAGGCUCUAUAUAUUUUCUUUAAUAUUUGUUUGAUGUUGUACCAAUUUUCUCAGUUUUACUACGUUUUACCCGGUUUUCCCGUGUUUCAUCCCAGUUUUUCACAUUUACUGGGACAUUCUUGAGAAAAUCAAAAAAUACCCUCUCUAAAUAAAGUUCCUCCCU